UGUAAAAUUAUAAAAGAUGGCACAUUAUUCUAGUCAUUUUAUUUAUUAUGAAAACGGGCCUAAAAAUCCGUGCAAGGGCAUACCUGUGAAACUUCUUGUGUCUGCUUCUUACGCCCAGUUUGGGGUGGAUGCUGGAAGGUAGAUAAUUGGGCGCCUAUAAUGGCAUAUAGAACCGACCCAAUUAUUAUUGAGACCUAAAACGUGUGGAAAGACUAUACACAACAGUUGAUGUACUUUCUACGCUUUAGAUGUUAACCUACUAUGUGGAUAUACUACGAGUAGCGUAGCCUGUCUUGCGUGAAUAUGGGGGAUAAAAAAUUGAAACCAUAUUUGCAAAAAAGGAUAAUAAUAAAAUAAAAUGUACGAGGAAAUCUCCUAGAGUGCUUUUAAAUAGGAUUGCAGUGUGUACUAAGUGGCAAUCAAGUCGUAUAGCUGGAAACACUAUGCUAAAUUCUUUAAAGGGGAACCGCACAUUUGGUAACGAAUUGUAGAAUUUAGGGAAACCCAACUUGACCUAAGGCGCAAAGUUUACUAUUUAAACGCCAUUUUUUUUAUAACUAAA
rfam:Firmicutes bacterium CAG:884 genomic scaffold, scf69